rnacentral:piRNA from 1 species
UGAGUGAACCGGAACCCAGUGACUCUUGC